CCUACGUGAGGCAGCAGUAGGGAAUCUUCCACAAUGGGCGAAAGCCUGAUGGAGCAACGCCGCGUGGGUGAAGAAGGUCUUCGGAUCGUAAAACCCUGUUGUUAGAGAAGAAAGUGCGUGAGAGUAACUGUUCACGUUUCGACGGUAUCUAACCAGAAAGCCACGGCUAACUACGUGCCAGCAGCCGCGGUAAUACGUAGGUGGCAAGCGUUAUCCGGAUUUAUUGGGCGUAAAGGGAACGCAGGCGGUCUUUUAAGUCUGAUGUGAAAGCCUUCGGCUUAACCGGAGUAGUGCAUUGGAAACUGGGAGACUUGAGUGCAGAAGAGGAGAGUGGAACUCCAUGUGUAGCGGUGAAAUGCGUAGAUAUAUGGAAGAACACCAGUGGUGAAAGCGGCUCUCUGGUCUGUAACUGACGCUGAGGUUCGAAAGCGUGGGUAGCAAACAGGAUUAGAUACCCCAGUAGUC
rnacentral:rRNA from 1 species